rnacentral:misc_RNA from 1 species
AAGUCGUAACGAGGUUUCCGUAGGUGAACCUGCGGAAGGAUCAUUAGUGAAUAUUAGCGCAUCUCUUCGGAGAGCGUGACCUCCACUUUUCUAAACUCUGUGCAUUUUAUUGGCGGAAAGAACUUGAGCAAUCGAGCGUCUUCUGCGGCUCAUUUUUAUAACACAGUUAAAGUAUGUAACGAAAUAUCGAAACAAAAAAAA